CAAAAUGUAAUCCUGAAUUGCUUCGUUAAGGAUCGUAACAUCGUUAGAGACAUCACAAAUGGGAAUUUUCUUGAAACUGUAGACCUUAAAAUGCUCCCCGAAGAAAUAUCACAUGCCGUUCCUGAUGAGGCUGUUGAUAUCCACAUGAUAAGAAGUUUUUGCACCGAGAAAGCCUUUGAAAGAAUAACCAAUCUAGUUGAGCAGAAAUAACCAAUCUAGUUAACCAAUCAGUUGAGCAGAAACGACUUCAACAAAGUUGGUUGUGUUCUGUGUGCAGUGAAGGCACGCAUAAAAAUCAUAUGUCACUUUGUUGCAGUAGAUGCCUUCUAUGGAGACAUAUCCGUUGUGCAGGAUUGACUAAGCGACCUAAAUCAAAACUGUAGUUUUGCAGAGAAUGCUAUCUGUAGCAUUAUUAUUUUUAAAUUGACGUAGUAUUAUUUUUAAGUUGUCAGUUUAUAAUUUGCAAUAAAAACCUGAAAACC